CCUACGGGAGGCAGCAGUGGGGGAUAUUGCACAAUGGGGGAAACUCUGAUGCAGCGACGCCGCGUGAGUGAAGAAGUAUCUCGGUAUGUAAAGCUCUAUCUGUAGGGAAGAAAAUGACAGUACCUGACCAAGAAGCCACGGCUAACUACGUGCCAGCCGCCGCGGCAAUACGGAGGGGGCAAGCGUUAUCCGGAUUAACUGGGUGUAAAGGGGGCGUAGUGGGUUAAGUAAGUCUGGAGUGAAAGCCCGGGGCCCAACCCCGGGACUGCUUUGGAAACUGUGUAACUGGAGUACAGGAGGGGCAGGCGGAAUGCCUGGUGUAGCGGUGAAAUGCGUAGAUAUCAGGAGGAACACCGGCGGCGAAGGCGGCCUGCUGAACUGAAACUGACGUUGAGGCUCGAAAGCGUGGGGAGCAAACAGGAUUAGAUACCCGAGUAGUC
rnacentral:rRNA from 1 species